AGCGAACGCUGGCGGCGUGCCUAAUACAUGCAAGUCGAACGGGGAAAGCUUUCGGGUGAGUACUAGUGGCGCACGGGUGAGGAACGCGUGGAUAAUCUGCCUUAGAGUGGGGGAUAACUAGUCGAAAGAUUAGCUAAUACCGCAUAAGACCACAGGAGCUGCGGCUCAAGGGGUCAAAGGUUUUUCGCUCUAAGAUGAGUCCGCGUAAGAUUAGCUAGUUGGUGAGGUAACGGCUUACCAAGGCGACGAUCUUUAACUGGUCUGAGAGGAUGAUCAGGCACACGGGAAGUGGGACACGGUCAAGACUCCUACGGGAGGCAGAAGUAGGGAAUAUUGGACAAUGGAGGAAACUCUGAUGCAGUGACGCGGCGAGAGUGAUGAAGGCCUUCGGGUCGUAAAGCUCUGUCGCAGGGGAAUAACACAAUGAAUGUACCCUGUAAGAAAGGAUCGGCUAACUUCGUGCCAGCAGCCGCAGUAACAC
rnacentral:rRNA from 1 species